rnacentral:rRNA from 1 species
CCUACGGGUGGCAGCAGUGAGGAAUAUUGGUCAAUGGACGGAAGUCUGAACCAGCCAUGCCGCGUGCAGGAUGACGGCUCUAUGAGUUGUAAACUGCUUUUGUACAAGGGUAAAUCUGAAUACGUGUAUUCAGAUGAAAGUUCUGUAAGAAUAAGGCUCGGCGAAAUCCGUGCCAGCCGCCGCGGUAAUACGGAGGAUCCAAGCGUUAUCCAGAUUUAUUGGGGUUAAAGGGUGCGUAGGCGGAUUGAUCAGUUAGAGGGGAAAAGUUCGGGCUUAACUCGGGUACUGCCUCUAAUACUGAUGAUCUAGAGAGUAGGUGCGGUAGGCGGAAUGUAUGGUGUAGCGGUGAAAUGCUUAGAGAUCAUACAGAACACCGAUUGCGAAGGCAGCUUACCAAUCUAUAUCUGACGUUGAGGCACGAAAGCGUGGGGAUCGAACAGGAUUAGAUACCCGUGUAGUC